rnacentral:rRNA from 2 species
CACACUAUCAUUAACUGAAUCCAUAGGUUAAUGAGGCGAACCGGGGGAACUGAAACAUCUAAGUACCCCGAGGAAAAGAAAUCAACCGAGAUUCCCCCAGUAGCGGCGAGCGAACGGGGAGGAGCCCAGAGCCUGAAUCAGUGUGUGUGUUAGUGGAAGCGUCUGGAAAGGCGCGCGAUACAGGGUGACAGCCCCGUACACAAAAAUGCACAUAUUGUGAGCUCGAUGAGUAGGGCGGGACACGUGGUAUCCUGUCUGAAUAUGGGGGGACCAUCCUCCAAGGCUAAAUACUCCUGACUGACCGAUAGUGAACCAGUACCGUGAGGGAAAGGCGAAAAGAACCCCGGCGAGGGGAGUGAAAAAGAACCUGAAACCGUGUACGUACAAGCAGUGGGAGCCUCUUUAUGGGGUGACUGCGUACCUUUUGUAUAAUGGGUCAGCGACUUAUAUUCUGUAGCAAGGUUAACCGAAUAGGGGAGCCGAAGGGAAACCGAGUCUUAACUGGGCGUUAAGUUGCAGGGUAUAGACCCGAAACCCGGUGAUCUAGCCAUGGGCAGGUUGAAGGUUGGGUAACACUAACUGGAGGACCGAACCGACUAAUGUUGAAAAAUUAGCGGAUGACUUGUGGCUGGGGGUGAAAGGCCAAUCAAACCGGGAGAUAGCUGGUUCUCCCCGAAAGCUAUUUAGGUAGCGCCUCGUGAAUUCAUCUCCGGGGGUAGAGCACUGUUUCGGCAAGGGGGUCAUCCCGACUUACCAACCCGAUGCAAACUGCGAAUACCGGAGAAUGUUAUCACGGGAGACACACGGCGGGUGCUAACGUCCGUCGUGAAGAGGGAAACAACCCAGACCGCCAGCUAAGGUCCCAAAGUCAUGGUUAAGUGGGAAACGAUGUGGGAAGGCCCAGACAGCCAGGAUGUUGGCUUAGAAGCAGCCAUCAUUUAAAGAAAGCGUAAUAGCUCACUGGUCGAGUCGGCCUGCGCGGAAGAUGUAACGGGGCUAAACCAUGCACCGAAGCUGCGGCAGCGACACUAUGUGUUGUUGGGUAGGGGAGCGUUCUGUAAGCCUGUGAAGGUGGCCUGUGAGGGUUGCUGGAGGUAUCAGAAGUGCGAAUGCUGACAUAAGUAACGAUAAAGCGGGUGAAAAGCCCGCUCGCCGGAAGACCAAGGGUUCCUGUCCAACGUUAAUCGGGGCAGGGUGAGUCGACCCCUAAGGCGAGGCCGAAAGGCGUAGUCGAUGGGAAACAGGUUAAUAUUCCUGUACUUGGUGUUACUGCGAAGGGGGGACGGAGAAGGCUAUGUUGGCCGGGCGACGGUUGUCCCGGUUUAAGCGUGUAGGCUGGUUUUCCAGGCAAAUCCGGAAAACCAAGGCUGAGGCGUGAUGACGAGGCACUACGGUGCUGAAGCGACAAAUGCCCUGCUUCCAGGAAAAGCCUCUAAGCAUCAGGUAACAUCAAAUCGUACCCCAAACCGACACAGGUGGUCAGGUAGAGAAUACCAAGGCGCUUGAGAGAACUCGGGUGAAGGAACUAGGCAAAAUGGUGCCGUAACUUCGGGAGAAGGCACGCUGAUAUGUAGGUGAAGCGACUUGCUCGUGGAGCUGAAAUCAGUCGAAGAUACCAGCUGGCUGCAACUGUUUAUUAAAAACACAGCACUGUGCAAACACGAAAGUGGACGUAUACGGUGUGACGCCUGCCCGGUGCCGGAAGGUUAAUUGAUGGGGUUAGCGGUAACGCGAAGCUCUUGAUCGAAGCCCCGGUAAACGGCGGCCGUAACUAUAACGGUCCUAAGGUAGCGAAAUUCCUUGUCGGGUAAGUUCCGACCUGCACGAAUGGCGUAAUGAUGGCCAGGCUGUCUCCACCCGAGACUCAGUGAAAUUGAACUCGCUGUGAAGAUGCAGUGUACCCGCGGCAAGACGGAAAGACCCCGUGAACCUUUACUAUAGCUUGACACUGAACAUUGAGCCUUGAUGUGUAGGAUAGGUGGGAGGCUUUGAAGUGUGGACGCCAGUCUGCAUGGAGCCGACCUUGAAAUACCACCCUUUAAUGUUUGAUGUUCUAACGUUGGCCCGUAAUCCGGGUUGCGGACAGUGUCUGGUGGGUAGUUUGACUGGGGCGGUCUCCUCCUAAAGAGUAACGGAGGAGCACGAAGGUUGGCUAAUCCUGGUCGGACAUCAGGAGGUUAGUGCAAUGGCAUAAGCCAGCUUGACUGCGAGCGUGACGGCGCGAGCAGGUGCGAAAGCAGGUCAUAGUGAUCCGGUGGUUCUGAAUGGAAGGGCCAUCGCUCAACGGAUAAAAGGUACUCCGGGGAUAACAGGCUGAUACCGCCCAAGAGUUCAUAUCGACGGCGGUGUUUGGCACCUCGAUGUCGGCUCAUCACAUCCUGGGGCUGAAGUAGGUCCCAAGGGUAUGGCUGUUCGCCAUUUAAAGUGGUACGCGAGCUGGGUUUAGAACGUCGUGAGACAGUUCGGUCCCUAUCUGCCGUGGGCGCUGGAGAACUGAGGGGGGCUGCUCCUAGUACGAGAGGACCGGAGUGGACGCAUCACUGGUGUUCGGGUUGUCAUGCCAAUGGCACUGCCCGGUAGCUAAAUGCGGAAGAGAUAAGUGCUGAAAGCAUCUAAGCACGAAACUUGCCCCGAGAUGAGUUCUCCCUGAGACUUAGAGUCUCCUGAAGGAACGUUGAAGACGACGACGUUGAUAGGCCGGGUGUGUAAGCGCAGCGAUGCGUUGAGCUAACCGGUACUAAUGAACCGUGAGGCUUAACCUU